rnacentral:rRNA from 1 species
UACGUAGGGUGCAAGCGUUGUCCGGAUUUAUUGGGCGUAAAGAGCUCGUAGGCGGUUUCGUAAGUCGGAAGUCAAAACGUGAGGCUUAACCUCACGUCGCUUUCGAUACUGCGAUGACUUGAGUUUGGUAGGGGGAAGACGGAAUUCCUGGUGUAGCGGUGAAAUGCGCAGAUAUCAGGAGGAACACCGAUGGCGAAGGCAGUCUUCUGGGCCAAUACUGACGCUGAGGAGCGAAAGCGUGGGGAGCGAACAGG